rnacentral:rRNA from 1 species
ACGGAGGAUCCAAGCGUUAUCCGGAAUCAUUGGGUUUAAAGGGUCCGUAGGCGGUUUAAUAAGUCAGUGGUGAAAGCCCAUCGCUUAACGAUGGAACGGCCAUUGAUACUGUUAGACUUGAAUUAUUGGGAAGUAACUAGAAUAUGUAGUGUAGCGGUGAAAUGCUUAGAUAUUACAUGGAAUACCAAUUGCGAAGGCAGGUUACUAUCAAUAUAUUGACGCUGAUGGACGAAAGCGUGGGGAGCGAACAGGAUUAGAUACCCUGGUAGUCCACGCCGUAAACGAUGGAUACUAGCUGUUCGGAGCAAUCUGAGUGGCUAAGCGAAAGUGAUAAGUAUCCCACCUGGGGAGUACGUUCGCAAGAAUG